UGGCAGUUGUCCUUUCAGGGUUACCCAGCUCUACCUGUGCAAUGGGCUUUUUCUCUUUUCUUUAAAUUCUCCCAUGUACCUUUGCUCUCCCCUCAAUGCUUCAGUCCAGUUUUACAUGCAGUCUGACCCACUGGUCACAGUUUUGUACGUCCUUCUUGAGUCGACUCCUUUGAAGAAGGAUGGCUUUAACCAUUAAGAGUGAGGCAGAUUUUGAAGGUUUAGGUUCUGUUUCUUCCUCUGCUAUGGACUUCCCAUUUGACUUUGGACAUGUAACUACAUCCCCAAGCCUUUAUUAUCUCCUAGGAAGGGGGCUGGGAGGUGACAAUUCCAAUUUCUCCCUGUUAUGAAGUCUGCUAGUUUGGUUGAUAGUUCCCAGCUAGAGAAGUUUAAAACCUAAUUAAACAUGAUCAUUAUCUCUUCUCAUUUUUGUCUGUGCCACAGACAGUCCUUGCUGGGUUCUCUCUAGGUUACUGUAAUGCAAAUUGUAAGUUCUUACUUGAAACUAAAAGCAUUUACUAUAAACUGUUUUCUCCUUUAUUAGCAACCCAAAAGUAGCAACCUGUGUUUUCUGUUUCAAGUGAGAUUUGUUCCAUACUUUUUCCCCAGGAAAACAGCUUUGAUUAAUAUUUCAAGCAUUUUAUAACACUAAAAGCCAAACAACAGGAUAGAAAAGCUGAUUACGCAGAAAUGAAAGCCAGACUACAUCUAAAGGUCAGAAGGCAAAUGUGCCUAUGUCAAGCACUACAUACCUUUUGGUUCUUGAACCUGGCAGCUGGAGGAAAAUCAACAUUGCACAAAAACCAAUAAUCCUUGUAACAAAUCCUCUGUUUACUGGAAAAUUCUUAUGUAAGUGUUAACAGGUCAGGUGAAAUCCUACAUACUGUACACUUCUGCUUAGCACCAUUCUAAGAAGCAUAAGACAACAUCAGUGGACAACAAUGGGAUUUUUUCAAUGUAAAGGCACUUUUGUUUGGUCAGUGUAAAUGGUUCCUACCAGACAAAUGCCACAAUUAUGAUUAUUUCUACAAACAACACUCAGUUAAGAGACCAGGAGUUCAACGGGACCCUGGAAAUAAUGUUUUUUUUUCCUUAUGCUUUUAGGAAGACAGAAUUCUGACUGCUAUACAUGCAUCUUUGACUGACCAUCUGUCUCCAAAUUUACUGAUUCAGGAUGAUAUAUGUGCUGUUUCCAAAUUUACUGAUUCAGGAUGAUGUAUGUGCUGUUUCUGUAAAGAGAAGUUUCUUACGUGUGUGACCAAACCACUAUGUACAAAUGGAUGGCAAUCAACUUGCAUUCUACAAAUAAAAUUAAAAACCCCAGGCUAACUUGCUAACCUUGUAGAGUUCAGUUAUUUGCUCUAAAUAGCACUAAGUACCUUUUUAUUUUAGGUGAAGCAUAGAUGUUCUCUGCCCAGAAAACCUUAAACAAGAGAUGGAUAUGAAUGACAGAUCAAGAGAGUUUCAGUUUGUAGAGGCAGCUCUGAAUGGAGUAAUAACCGUGAUUCACAAAACGUGUCACCCAGGAGCAGAAAAGAUGUACAACUAAGCCUGCUAUACUGUAUUUCCAUUACCAGUUCCUGAUGGAGAGGCCUGGGGCUAUCUGGUUGUGGACUUUAAGUGAUGGUUCAACAUUGUAGCAGUGCAGAAAACUAAGAUUUAAGAUUUUUGAAUUAAGAAGUUGAUUGGAGUCCUCAAGAAGUUUAAUGCCCAAAAGGAUUUGUUAUCUGAGCUGGAAAAAAAGUGCACAGGAACCCACUGCUCUUCUGAACCCACCAACCGCCUCCUUACUGCUGAUUUUGCAAGGUUUAAUGUGUACUUGCUGCACGUGGAAGCAGAAUUUGAACUCCUCUGGGUUUUUGGUGGUCUCUGAAGAAAUGCUUCCUAUUUAUGAAAGUGGGACACCAAAGGAACAAGGAGCACCAGAAAAUACAGCAAAAAGACUUCAACCAUUUAGUGACAGCUUCAAGACCUGAGCAACAUUUAAAGAAGCCAGAUGAAUUAGAAGAUUGUAAAAGUAUCUCCGCUCUCUCUGAAGCAGGUGAUGGUGUGAAGGAGGUUAUCUGGUGCUGUCAUUAUUAAGAGGGGCAAUAUCUCACUGCAAAAGAGGUGCUGAAGGUAGUGAUUGUCCCUGGGGCAGGAGGAAAGGAAAGGCGUGCGUGUUUGCAGCUCCCUGCUAAGGCACACACACCGCUGACAGGUGCGGCGUGAACGCGACACUUACUUGGAAACAAAAGUGAGACAUUGGUGGAAAGUGAAAAUGGAAAACAUUCCAGAUGCCAGGUGGAAAAUGAUAUUAAAGCUGUCAAAAUAAGUCACAACAAAUACUGGGUUUUCUUCUAGACUAACAGGAGUCAUGUUCUGGAGAAGAAUAGAGGUUUCAACUACAAGGUGGAGUGUCAUAAAUGAAACAAUUAUGAGCAUUGGAGGUUAAAUAUGAACCUAUUUGUUUUGGGGUUUUAUCUUUAGUCUCUUUAUUUUUCCUUUUUCUCUUUCAAGUGCACUGCAGCAUUCCUGAUUUACUCUACAGUUUGUGGACAGGUCAAAAAUGUGUAAAUAAAUCCUACUGUCACUGCUUCACAUAGUUAUCUAUUCUGGGCCUAAUUCCAAGCCCUGUUAAAUUGAUGGCAAUCCUUCCAUUGGCAUCAGAGGACUGCAGUUUAGAACCUGUGAUGGAGGUGCAAAGCAUCAUCACUAGAGAGGAUGGAUAAACAGCCUCUGCAGUCAUCCAAAGUGAGUUUCUGAAACACAGUAAGGGAAGCAAACCUUGAACGACAUUCAAGGUCAAAUAUGCUUUAUGUAUAUGGCAAUAGAACUUUUAAAAAAGACAGCUCCACCUAGCAUCCAUUAAACAUCUUAAAUAUUAUAAAAGACAUUAUUCAGAUUUAAGACUGACAAUCUGAACAGAUAACCCAGUAUUUUACUUUAAAAAAUCAGCUGCACUGUUUAUACUUGGGUGUAAAACCGCAGAUCAGAACAAAGUUUGCUGUAUUUCCUUAGUGCAGCCAAGGAAAUUUAUUCUGCUGAUUGAGGAUUUUACUUGUCCAUGUAUUCACUUUCAUGCACUGGUAGAUUCUUAUCAGCAAUUUAUCUGCAAUUUUGUGGCUGAAUUUUGCUUCUUUAUGCAAUGUUACUUAAGCACAAGAAAAUGUGCCUACAUUAAAUUCCUUAUGCUCCUGAUGAAAUACUCCUAACAAACAAUAAUUCAUUCUGAACGUUUACCCCCCAAAGUAUAAUUAUUACUUAAAAUAUAAAAUACAUCUCUAUUCUUUCGUGAUGGACUUUUCAUGCAGGCUGUUGAUGUGUUAGAAAGAACCAGACUCCCAGAGGAAUGGGUAGAAGCUUGAUUGCAGCUAGAGAUAGACAAUGCAGCAGCAGCAGUAACUGGAGACUGUUCACACAACACACCAUAAUGGCCAUUAUGGAGCUGUUAACCUCUAGUGUGUCAAAACCUACUCAGAAACUGGUUGAAUUCGUAGAUUGCUGAUCCAAGUGGUUCCUUUAAAUUCAGCAAAAAAAUGAACUGAAGGGCUAUUCUGCAUUUGAGCUAUAAAUCCUUGGAAAUAUCCGUUAAUAAUGGAAAUAAUGACAGACCUUUACUGUAGCUGCAUGGAUGGUGCUGGUAUUAAUAAUGCAGAAGUGCAAGGCAGGACAGCUCUUAGAAGUUGAUGACUGCUGAAGUGCAGAAAACCUCAUUAAAACAACCUAAAGGAUGGUGUAUUAUUAUAACAACUUUUUUUCUACAGUGCCCUUCAACUAUCAUAAUUGCACAGUAUAUGGAGCAACUUGAAAAGAUUUAGAAAUGUGUAAGAAGUAAAAUCUCUGGCCACAGUCACUGGCAGCCUAAUUAUGUGAAUAUAUUGUGUACUCUGCAUCCUGAUCUUUAGUUUUGAGAGCCCGUGGAUUUGUGGAUGAUGAAUAAUGUGGUGUCUAACCAAAAUAUCAGCACUAAAUUGCUGGAAUAGAUAUUCAGCCUUAAAUAAUUGCUUUGGAUUUUUGUUGAUUUCAAGCAGUAGAAUAGUUAUGACUAAACUUGCAGUUGUUAAAUGUAAACAUGUUGUAUUAUUUUUGCAUUUAAGAUUUUAUAGAACUGUGGAUAGGAGUGGUUGUUGUCAAGGGUGUUUAUGGGAUUUUCAGUUGAUGUCUCUGAGGAUGAGGUCUAAUAACGCCACCUCAUCUGAGGGUACUGCUCAAAGGCCAGUGGAGUGGGCUGCUGUUUGUGCUACAGAUAUUUCAUAAAUGCCAGUUGUACUGUGGUUACUUCCACAGACAAGGAAAGCCACCACUUGGUUUGGGGCUUUGAUUAGUGUUUGAUAAUUCAGUUUAACAGGAUCCAGACCACACUGGGCUGCAGUCCCUGUGCAAUGUGCUGUACCCUGCAAUGCACCGAGCUAAUAUUUAGAGGUAAAGCUCCAAAUCUAACGUCUGCACUGGCAUAUAAUAGAGUAUUCAAAGUAAGUGGGUUUUAUAAAAUGUUUGAUGGCUGGAAAUUACUAGUCUAGAAGGGUACACAAGAUUAAAUGUUAAGUCACUCAAAAAGUGCAAGUUUACCUCAAAGACAUUUCCACAAUGCCUUUGGAGAAAGAACUAUUUCAACUCGUUCUCACUGAAUAACCAAUCCUGGCCUAAGGUACAGUGUAGUGAUGCUUAUACAUCGCUCCACUGCCUCUGCAAAGCCACUUGAGCCAAUUUUGUACAACACUUCUGUGGCGGCAGCAUCAGGCGGCCCUUCAGCGGCACUCCAGCACAGGGCUCCCGGCUGGAGGCUUUCCGUCGCAGACACACAGCAAGUGCUUCAGAUAUUUCCCAAGUGGAGAAACCAAUUGAGCUCAGCCAAGUGGGAGCAGAAGGUUAAGAGCGUACAAUUAAGGCCGAGAGAUCUUCGUCUUCGCUCAGAGG